rnacentral:lncRNA from 1 species
AGACCCGGAAGCGGAUCGCGGGGAGUGAAGGCUGCGCCGCCGAGCCUGAGUUUCGCUCUCUCUAGAUUAAAUCUGCGCUUCGCAGUCCCCCUUCUUCCAUCCCCCGGGUCUGGAGGGGUCCCUACAGAUCUUAAAAUGACCACACCGCGCCCUCCACCCCAGGGAAGGUUGACAUUCAGGGACGUGGCCAUCGAAUUCUCUCAGGAGGAGUGGAAAUGCCUGGACCCUGCUCAGAGGGCUUUGUACAGGGACGUGAUGUUGGAGAACUACAGGAACCUGGUCUCCCUGGAUGUCUCUCCUACACAUAUGAUCAAGGAAUUACCACCAAAA